rnacentral:rRNA from 1 species
AUGGCUUCACUCAUCCUAUGGGACGAGGCCACCAUGACGAAGCGACAAGCGGUUGAGGCACUGGACAAUAGCAUGCGGGACAUCAUGGGACGACGGGACCGACUAUUCGGGGGAAAGACUGUCGUGUUCGGUGGGGACUUCAGGCAGGUGCUUCCGGUCGUCAGGAAGGGGUCACGGGGUCAGAUAAUUGAUGCGACCUUGCGGAGUUCGUACAUAUGGAAGGGCAUGCGCCACCUAAGGCUCCUCACCAACAUGAGGGCGCAUAACGACCCGUGGUUCGCAGAUUACUUGCUAAGGGUAGGCAACGGCACCGAGGAAACCGACGAGGAAGGCAACAUAAGGCUCCCAGAAGAUAUUUGUGUGCAGCCAACAGAAGACGGCGUUGACCUAGAGAAGCUAAUCGACCAUGUAUUUCCUGCUCUAGACGACAACAUGGCUGAUCCAAAUUACAUGACAUCUCGAGCGAUCCUCUCCACCAAGAACGACAACAUUGAUAAGGUAAACACACGCAUGAUAGAGCGCUUCCAGGGCGAAGAGAAGAUCUACCACAGUUUUGAUAUUGCAGAGGAUGACCCACAUGGCUACUAUGCCCCCGAGUUCCUGAACAACCUAACUCCCAACAGGCUGCCUCCGCAUGCGCUCAAACUGAAGUUAAAUUGCCCCGUUAUACUGUUGAGAAACAUUGAUCCAGCUAAUGGGUUGUGUAACGGCACAAGGCUUGUGGUCCGGGGUUUCCAAAGGAACGCCAUCGACGCAGAAAUCGUGCUAGGACAACAUGCUGGUAGGAGGGUGUUCCUUCCUCGGAUACCUCUCUGCCCAUCCGAUGACGAUAUAUUCCCUUUCAAGUUCAAGAGGAAGCAGUUCCCUAUUAGGCUCAGUUUUGCCAUGACAAUCAACAAGGCACAAGGGCAGACCAUCCCGAUUGUCGGGGUGUACCUACCAGACCCGAUAUUCUCUCACGGUCAGCUCUACGUCGCAUUGUCUAGAGCCACUGCGAAGAGGAACAUUAAGAUUCUCGCCAUCAAGGACAACGACAAUGGUAAGGGCAAGGGCAAGGGCAAGGGCAAGGAACAAAUCAAUAAUUCAAAUAAGCGAAAAAGAUCUGAGCCCUUAUUAACGACCAUGAAGAACAUAGUCUACAAGGAAGUCCUUAGCACAUGA